CAGAGCCAAUGAAGCAACCAACAUGAUACUGACUUUAUGUUAUCUUGUCGUGUUUUGUCAAGCCCUCUCCAGGGGAUCUAAACCUUCCAUACCAGGAUCUAAGCUAUAGAUUAAGGAGCAUCCACCAUCAGCUGGUAUUAAACCUUUCUCAAGGUUUACUAAGAGUGCAAGCGUGCACAUACACACACAGUACAUGGGAACUCGUUCUGCAGUGAGGAGCAUCCUAGGAGCCUGUACUUCCCUCCUCUACACUUCCAGACAGAAGAUGUAAACACCACUCCUGGCAGAGGCCUCCACGUGACUCUGACUUGCCUGUCUGCUCCAGUAGACAUUAUGAGCUUGAUUCUCCAAGACUGCCACCGAAAUUCCACUCUACUGAUCUUUGCAACCUAAUUCUUCAGGCACUUUUUUUUUUUUUUUGGCAGGAGGAUGUGACCCAAAUUUAUGAAGGAGGGUAAUUUGCUCUAACAGUGCAUCUUGAAUCUAGGAUCUCCGUGUGUUUAUUUGUUAUCAGCACAUAUUUAAAAUACCAGACUUGGAGACCUGAAUUUUGUUGCAACUUGAAAGGCCUUGAAUGUUUUGUAGCAUGAGGGAAAACAGUUAUCAAUCAGAAAACCAAGAUGUAAAAGGUUUUAUGAAGAAAAAAUAUUUCUGAGACAACAAAAGCUGUCCAAAGACUCCUCUUGCACUAGUAAAUACCAGAAGGACACAGCUACUUUUUCAACAACCAAAAAAAAAAAUGCUGGAGCGCUCCUUCAUUAUUUUUCUUUACAUGACAUAUCGCACAUACUGCUGCAGAAAAACAGCUGCUGAAGUGGCCUAGAGGGCAUUUUCAGGCACUGUACUUCAGCGAUUACAGCAAUUUUGUAGGCAUUCGAUAUUAGGAUUACAUUCUAAUUUUAGACAAAGUUAAAUUUAAAUGGAGUAGGAGGGGUUUUCGUGCUACUUUGGAUGUUCUAACAUCACUUACCCCAAACCAAAAACUGUGUAAGGUCUGAAUUUUGCAGCUAUGAUCAUGUAUUAGCUGCAGUACACUUUAAAAGAACGCAACUACAGCUCACUAGUCUCAGUGGGAAGAUGUCCACUGUCACGACGGGAUCCAGACUUAGGCCUUAAAAGCAUUUACCUGCUGGCCACGAUCCCACUGC